CCAACUCCACAAAGUGCGGACCAACAAUGCACGUGAAAUUUUCACUUUAUUUCCUUAUUUGGAGGACCAAUCUUCUUAGAAUGGGAGCAAUUCUAUGAUGCACCAAGUGGCUAAGGGUACCAGGCUUGGUGUUUAAAGACUGUACAGACUAGAACCUGGUGAUGGAAAGAUAACAGAUAAGUUAACAUAUGAGAGAAUCA